ACGCUGGCGGCGCGCCUAACACAUGCAAGUCGAACGAGUGGAACCCCUUCGGGGGUAAAGCUAGUGGCAAACGGGUGAGUAACGCGUAGGCAACCUGCCCUUCAGAUGGGGACAACACCUCGAAAGGGGGUGCUAAUACCGAAUGACGUUUCCUGGUCGCAUGACCUGGAAACCAAAGGCCCGGGCAACCGGUCACUGAAGGAUGGGCCUGCGUCUGAUUAGCUAGUUGGUGGGGUAACGGCCCACCAAGGCGACGAUCAGUAGCCGGUCUGAGAGGAUGAACGGCCACAUUGGGACUGAGACACGGCCCAAACUCCUACGGGAGGCAGCAGUGGGGAAUCUUCCGCAAUGGGCGCAAGCCUGACGGAGCAACGCCGCGUGAGUGAAGAAGGUUUUCGGAUCGUAAAGCUCUGUUGAGAGGGACGAGAGACAUAAUCAGGAAAUGGGUUAUGGAGGACGGUACCUUUCGAGGAAGCCACGGCUAACUACGUG
rnacentral:rRNA from 1 species